rnacentral:snRNA from 1 species
GUAGUUUCAGAACUCCUAUCCACUACCACUGAGAAAAGUACAUCUAAUAAAAUUGGAAUGAUACAGAGAUUAGCAUGGUCCUUGCACAAGGAUGACAUGGAAUACUUGUUUUUUGUUCUU